AACGCGAAGAACCUUACCUGGGCUCGAAGUGUAGAGGACGAUAUCAGAAAUGAUAUCUCUCGAAAGAGCUUUUACAUAGGUGCUGCAUGGCUGUCGUCAGCUCGUGCCGUGAGGUGUUUGGUUAAGUCCAGCAACGAGCGCAACCCUUAUCAUUAGUUGCCAACAUUUUAGGUGGGGACUCUAAUGAGACUGCCUGGGUUAACCAGGAGGAAGGUGAGGAUGACGUCAAGUCCGCAUGGCCUUUAUGUCCAGGGCUACACACGUGCUACAAUGGUCGGUACAGAAGGCAGCGAAACCGCGAGGUGGAGCAAAUCCCCAAAGCCGAUCCCAGUUCAGAUUGUAGUCUGCAACUCGACUACAUGAAGUUGGAAUUGCUAGUAAUGGCGUGUCAGCAACAACGCCGUGAAUACGUUCCCGGGCCUUGUA
rnacentral:rRNA from 1 species